rnacentral:lncRNA from 12 species
GGGCCACAACCGAGGAAGCAGCGCCCACCCGGCUCCCCCGGCUGGAAAGCCCCGAAUUGAGGACACCACCUCCAGGAUCACGCUCCUCUGGCCCUGGGUUCAGAGCAUGACAUCAAUGUAGGGAGCCUCGGCCGGGUUGCCACUAGGACUCAGACCCGGUCACACUGAAUCAGGGAUUGCCAGGUCCUGGCUCCCUGGACGGCCUUGUCCCGGGUUCUCCCAUCGCUAGAAACAUUUUACUGGUAACAUUACUUGAGUUGAGAAGAUCCAUGUUCUUCCUAGGCGUUUCAGCCCCAUUCAGACAGCUGGGUGGCCUACCAAGCGUUGCCUGGGAGAAUUUUUUGUCACUUGAAAAAAGGAGUCCAUUCAUUCUCUACAAUUUCUAUAGCAUAUCUUAAUUAAAAUGCCAAGAAGAUAUACCCUAAGAAUGGAGACCAGAGCACUGGGGGCUGUGCAAAUCAUGAAUGGCCUAAUUUACUAUGCAUUGGGGUUUCUUUGUUUUGCAUUAUUUGUCUCAGAAGAGGACAGGAAACAAACUGGUCAUAUCCCUGUUGUUGUUACACUAAUUUACAUAUUUUGGUCAGCACCAUUUCUUAUUUCUAGCCUUGUUAUGAACAUCUUAUGUACCUGCUUUUCUACAAUUGGUAUGAUUAUAUUUAUUAUUGCAUGUUUCACAUAUCAUCCAGAUGCCGAUGAAUAUAUUUGGACACAUUUGGCUGGUAGUAUGCUUUUACAAUAUUUACUCUUCUGCACCAUCACAGAAGUGAUCUGUACAUGGAUCAUUACCAGGUGGAUUGUAGCUGCAUUGUGUAACCCAGAAUACAGUGAAAAGAGUCCUUCACUCUCAGAAUCCACUGCCCCUACAUUAACGUACAGAGAACCAGUGUGACUCCAGUCAAGAACAAAAGUACAAAGAACCAGUGUGACUCCAGUCAAGAACAAAAGAUUAACUGUGAAUUAAUGAAGAACUCAGUAACUUUUUUCAAGAGGCCCAUGGAAAAUACAUGCUAAUGAAGUCCUUUCUGGUAUAUCUUCUC